rnacentral:rRNA from 1 species
GAUGAACGCUGGCGGCGUGCUUAACACAUGCAAGUCGAACGAUGAAGCCCAGCUUGCUGGGUGGAUUAGUGGCGAACGGGUGAGUAACACGUGAGUAACCUGCCCUUAACUCUGGGAUAAGCCUGGGAAACUGGGUCUAAUACCGGAUAGGAGCGUCCACCGCAUGGUGGGUGUUGGAAAGAUUUAUCGGUUUUGGAUGGACUCGCGGCCUAUCAGCUUGUUGGUGAGGUAAUGGCUCACCAAGGCGACGACGGGUAGCCGGCCUGAGAGGGUGACCGGCCACACUGGGACUGAGACACGGCCCAGACUCCUACGGGAGGCAGCAGUGGGGAAUAUUGCACAAUGGGCGCAAGCCUGAUGCAGCGACGCCGCGUGAGGGAGGACGGCCUUCGGGUUGUAAACCUCUUUCAGUAGGGAAGAAGCGAAAGUGACGGGACCGGCAGAAGAAGCACCGGCGAACUACGU